rnacentral:tRNA from 1 species
GCCCCAAUAGCUCAGCCGGUAGAGCAUCUGAUUUGUAAUCAGGAGGUCGGGAGUUCGAGUCUCUCUUGGGGCACCA